rnacentral:rRNA from 1 species
UGCCUUAUAGCCCGGGGUGUCAUGCGGCCCGCCUGGACCGAGGCCCGCGCUUCGGCGAGGAUGCUGGCGUAAUGGUGGUCAACGGCCCGUCUUGAAACACGGACCAAGGAGUCUAACAUCUAUGCGAGUGUUCGGGUGUCAAACCCGUCCGCGCAGUGAAAGCGAACGCCGGUGGGAACCCCUCCCGGGGCGCACCAUCGACCGAUCCUGAUGUCUUCGGAUGGAUUUGAGUAAGAGCAUAGCUGUUGGGACCCGAAAGAUGGUGAACUAUGCCUGAAUAGGGCGAAGCCAGAGGAAACUCUGGUGGAGGCUCGCAGCGGUUCUGACGUGCAAAUCGAUCGUCAAAUUUGGGUAUAGGGCGAAAGACU